GACGAACGCUGGCGGCGUGCCUAAUACAUGCAAGUCGAGCGCAGGAAAUCGAUGGAACCCUUCGGGGGGAAGUCGAUGGAAUGAGCGGCGGGCGGGUGAGUAACACGUAAAGAACCUGCCCUCAGGUCUGGGAUAACCACGAGAAAUCGGGGCUAAUACCGGAUGGGUCAUCGGACCGCAUGGUCCGAGGAUGAAAGGCGCUUCGGCGUCGCCUGGGGAUGGCUUUGCGGUGCAUUAGCUAGUUGGUGGGGUAAUGGCCCACCAAGGCGACGAUGCAUAGCCGACCUGAGAGGGUGAUCGGCCACACUGGGACAGAGACACGGCCCAGACUCCUACGGGAGGCAGCAGUAGGGAAUCUUCCACAAUGGACGAAAGUCUGAUGGAGCAACGCCGCGUGAACGAUGAAGGCCUUCGGGUCGUAAAGUUCUGUUGUAAGGGAAGAACAAGUGCCGCAGGCAAUGGCGGCACCUUGACGGUACCUUGCGAGAAAGCCACGGCUAACUACGUGCCAGCAGCCGCAGUAA
rnacentral:rRNA from 1 species